rnacentral:rRNA from 14 species
CUACCCUGAACCGGCCCAGUCUCGUUCGAUCUCACAAGCUAAGCAGGGUCAGGCUUGGCGAGUACUUGGGUAGGAGACUGACAUAUGUGUUCAGUC